GGGGUUGUGGCUCAGUGGUAGAGUGCUCACCUACAUAGCAUGUGAGGGACCCUGGGUUCAAUCCUCAGCACCA
rnacentral:tRNA from 1 species